rnacentral:rRNA from 1 species
CCUACGGGUGGCUGCAGUGGGGAAUUUUGGACAAUGGGGGCAACCCUGAUCCAGCCAUGCCGCGUGAGUGAAGAAGGCCUUCGGGUUGUAAAGCUCUUUCGGCCGGGAAGAAAUCGCUCAAGCUAAUACCUUGGGUGGAUGACGGUACCGGAAGAAGAAGCACCGGCUAACUACGUGCCAGCAGCCGCGGUAAUACGUAGGGUGCGACCGUGAAUCGAGAGUACGCGGGGUAAAGCAUGAGACGGAUGCGAAAUCCCCGGGCUGAACCUGGGAACUGCGUUUGUGACUGUGGUGCUCGAGUGCGGCAGAGGGGGGUGGAAUUCCACGUGUAGCAGUGAAAUGCGUAGAGAUGUGGAGGAACACCGAUGGCGAAGGCAGCCCCCUGGGUCGACACUGACGCUCAUGCACGAAAGCGUGGGGAGCAAACAGGAUUAGAUACCCCGGUAGUC